rnacentral:pre_miRNA from 1 species
GGUGGAGGUUAGGGGGAGUCCCACAGCCUGGAUUGUGAGAGGGCGCAGGCCAGGCUGAGGGACCUCACCAGUGCACA